AACGCGAAGAACCUUACCAAGGCUUGACAUGUUGGAAGUAGCGACCCGAAAGGGAAGCCACCUGUUGAGUCAGGAACCGUCACAGGUGCUGCAUGGCUGUCGUCAGCUCGUGCUGUGAAGUGUUAGGUUAAGUCCUAUAACGAGCGCAACCCUCGUUGCCAGUUGUUUUCUCUGGCGAGACCGCCCUGCAAAAUGGGGAGGAAGGUGGGGAUGACGUCAAAUCAUCAUGCCCCUUACGUCCCGGGCUACACACGUGCUACAAUGGCCUGUACAGAGGGUAGCGAAAGAGCGAUCUUGAGCCAAUCUCAAAAAGCAGGCCCCAGUUCGGAUUGGAGGCUGCAACUCACCUCCAUGAAGUAGGAAUCGCUAGUAAUCGCGGAUCAGCAUGCCGCGGUGAAUACGUUCCCGGGCCUUGUACGCACCGCCCGUCACACCACGAAAGUUGGCGAUACCUGAAGUUACUAGGCUAA
rnacentral:rRNA from 1 species